AUACGGAGGGUGCGAGCGUUACUCGGAGUCACUGGGCGUAAAGCGUCCGUAGGCGGUCGGGUAAGUCGGGUGUGAAAGCCCCGGGCUCAACCUGGGAAGUGCACCCGAUACUGCUCGACUCGAGUGCGGGAGAGGAUGGGGGAAUUCCCGGUGUAGCGGUGAAAUGCGUAGAGAUCGGGAGGAACACCAGUGGCGAAGGCGGCCAUCUGGCCCGCAACUGACGCUGAGGGACGAAAGCGUGGGGAGCAAACAGGAUUAGAAACCCUAGUAGUCC
rnacentral:rRNA from 1 species